rnacentral:rRNA from 1 species
UUGCUCUUCAACGAGGAAUCCCUAGUAAGCGCAAGUCAUCAGCUUGCGUUGAUUACGUCCCUGCCCUUUGUACACACCGCCCGUCGCUACUACCGAUUGAAUGGCUCUGUGAGGCUUCCGGACUGGCCCAGGGAGGUCGGCAACGACCACCCCGGGCCGGAAAGCUAUCCAAACUCGGUCAUUUAGAGGAAGUAAAAGUCGUAACAAGGUCUCCGUUGGUGAACCAGCGGAGGGAUCAUUAAAGAGUUGCAAAACUCCCAACCAUUGCUAAACAACCACUGUUUCUUCGGCGGGUGGCCGCAUAGCCGCGCGCACCCUUCUCGGGGGGGACGCACCCCGCCGGAGCACACCAAACUCUUGUCAUUAUUGAUGCUCUGAGUAAAAAACAAAAUUAUUACAACUUUCAACAAUGGAUCUCUUGGCUCUGGCAUCGAUGAAGAACGCAGCGAAAUGCGAUACGUAAUGUGAAUUGCAGAAUCCAGUGAAUCAUCGAAUCUUUGAACGCACAUUGCGCCCGCUAGUAUUCUGGCGGGCAUGCCUGUCCGAGCGUCAUUUCAACCAUCAAGCCUAGUGCUUGUGUUGGGGCCCCGCGGCUGCCGCGGGCCCUGAAAACUAGUGGCGGGCUCGAAGUCGAACCGAGUGCAGUAAAUUUCUUCGCUUGGGAAGGUGACGAGUUCCGGCCGUAAAAAGCCCAACUUUAUCAAGGUUGACCUCGGAUCAGGUAGGAUUACCCGCUGAACUUAAGCAUAUCAAUAAGCGGAGG